UAGCAUGCGGGUGCUAUACAUGCAAGUCGAGCGAAUGGAUUAAGAGCUUGCUCUUAUGAAGUUAGCGGCGGACGGGUGAGUAACACGUGGGUAACCUGCCCAUAAACUGGGAUAACUCCGGGAAACCGGGGCUAAUACCGGAUAAAUUUUGAACCGCAGGUUCGAAAUUGAAAGGCGGCUUCGGCUGUCACUUAUGGAUGGACCCGCGUCGCAUUAGCUAGUUGGUGAGGUAACGGCUCACCAAGGCAACGAUGCGUAGCCACCUGAGAGGGUGAUCGGCCACACUGGGACUGAGACACGGCCCAGACUCCUACGGGAGGCAGCAGUAGGGAAUCUUCCGCAAUGGACAAAGUCUGACGGAGCAACGCCGCGUGAGUGAUGAAGGCUUUCGGGUCGUAAAACUCUGUUGUUAGGGAAAACAAGUGCUAGUUGAAUAAGCUGGCACCUUGACGGUACCUAACCAAAAGCCACGGCUAACUACGUGCCAGCAGCCGCGGUAAUACGUAGGUGGCAAGCGUUAUCCGGAAUUAUUGGGCGUAAAGCGCGCGCAGGUGGUUUCUUAAGUCUGAUGUGAAAGCCCACGGCUCAACCGUGGAGGGUCAUUGGAAACUGGGAGACUUGAGUGCAGAAGAGGAAAGUGGAAUUCCAUGUGUAGCGGUGAAAUGCGUAGAGAUAUGGAGGAACACCAGUGGCGAAGGCGACUUUCUGGUCUGUAACUGACACUGAGGCGCGAAAGCGUGGGGAGCAAACAGGAUUAGAUACCCUGGUAGUCCACGCCGUAAACGAUGAGUGCUAAGUGUUAGAGGGUUUCCGCCCUUUAGUGCUGAAGUUAACGCAUUAAGCACUCCGCCUGGGGAGUACGGCCGCAAGGCUGAAACUCAAGGAAAUUGACGGGGGCCCGCACAAGCGGUGGGAGCAUGUGGUUUAAUUCGAAGCAACGCGAAGAACCUUACCAGGUCUUGACAUCCUCUGACAACCCUAGAGAUAGGGCUUCUCCUUCGGGAGCAGAGUGACAGGUUGUGCAUGGUUGUCGUCAGCUCGUGUCGUGAGAUGUGGGUUAAGUCCCGCAACGAGCGC
rnacentral:rRNA from 1 species